CGGACGGGUGAGUAACGCGUGGGUAACCUGCCUUAUACAGGGGAUAACAGUUAGAAAUGACUGCUAAUACCGCAUAAGCGCACAGGAUUGCAUGAUCCGGUGUGAAAAACUCCGGNGGUAUAAGAUGGACCCGCGUCUGAUUAGCUUGUUGGUGAGGUAACGGCCCACCAAGGCGACGAUCAGUAGCCGACCUGAGAGGGUGACCGGCCACAUUGGGACUGAGACACGGCCCAAACUCCUACGGGAGGCAGCAUG
rnacentral:rRNA from 1 species